AUCGCCCUUCCUGACAGCAGCUCUGCUAGAAUGCUGAGAGCUGAAGCCAGACACGGUGAGCCCAAACGUGAACGGGGGACAAGAGCACAGCAUCCAUAAAGGCAUCUGGGUUGCUGGAAAACUGCUGGAGAUGUCUCAUUUUUAAAUAAUAAUUACCGUGAGCCGUUUGCAAGGACCUUCGCACUUAUGACCUCACUGCAUCCGGUCUCCAGCCAGUGCUUAUUGAAUGAGUGCCCACGUGAUCAUGCACUGUGCUCUGUGCAACAGGCACAUUGCCACAUUUUCUGCCGCCAAGAUGCUCCCGCCUCAGGGCCAUCAAAGCCAGAGCCAGACUUGUGCACAGCCCAGCGUCCGGAAGUGCCUGGUGCUCUACCGUUCUGCCCUCACAGUGAGCACCGCCUCAUCUAAUUUUCCCAAAACUCAGCGAGCUGCCGUUGUUCCAGCAUAUAGACCAGUCAACUGGAACUCAGAGACCUGUGCUACUUGCCCCUAGGUCACACAGUCAGAAAGCAAUAGAACUGGGAUUUAGGUCAGGUCUGCCUGGCCCCAGAGCUGGCUAGUGCCUUAUUGCCCCUUCUGCAUAUCCCUGAUGGUGGGAAUGGGAAUGCAGUGAUUCAAGCUUAUCCCAAGAGGGAAUUGACUCCUGGCUCUUCUGCUUUGUGAGACGGUGUUGUGAUUCUGGACUCCUGAACACCCUGGAUUGCUUAACCACGUUCUAGUGGUGAGAACUAGGGCAAGUCACUUUACUCCUCCUCAGAUAGAAUGAGAGAUAGCACCUCCCUAGCAGAGAUGUUGUGAAAAUCAAGAGCUAGAAUACAAAACAUUCGAGAAUGCACCAGGUCGUCUGUAAAGGAUUGUUUCAAUAAAUGACUCAUGAUUUCUUAAUCCAGAUGUUAAUUAUUAUAUUGUUUACACUAUUUUAUUAUAAGCCUUCUCGAAUACUGUGAUUAAAUGGAUAGUCUAUAUAUAUAUAUAUAUAAAAUAAAUGUAUGAAUAAUUAAAAUAUUUUAUUGGAUUUUUGUAUCUAACCUCUUACCAAAAGAGAGGAAGUUGAUUUAUAGCUUAUAAUAAAUAUCAUGGUAUAAUUCCUUUCAUCUAGAAAAAAAAUCACUGUUGUCAUCUUAACACAUGACACAAUAACAUUGAACACAUGCCAGGUGCUGGGCUAAGAAUUCUAAUCUCCAUUAUCUCAUUUAAUUCUUCAAGAGCGAGGCACUGUUGUCAUCUCCAUCUUACAGAUGUGGAGACAGAGGCCCGUAGCAUCUCAGGAAUUUGACCAAGUUCAUACAUACACUUACUAAGUGAGAAAUAACAAGAUUUUACAAGUACGCAUGAAUGUAUUUGAUAUUACUUUAUACCACCUCUGUCAAAAUGAAACUUUCAGGGGCCAGAGCUGUGGCAUAGCAGGUAAAGCCGCCGCCUUCAGUGCCGGCAUCCCAUAUGGGCGCCAGUUGAAACCCAGAUGUUCCACUUCUGAUCAAGCUCUCUGCCAUGGCCUGGGAAAGGAAUAGAAGAUGGCCCAAGUCCUUGGGCCUCUGUGCCCAGGUGGGAGACCCGGAAGAAGCUCCUGGCUUCAUAUCGGCGCAGCUUUGGCCAUUGCAGCCAUCUGGCAAGUGAAUCGGCAGAUGAAAGAUCUCUCUCUUUCUCUCUGCCUCUGCCUCUCUGUAAC